GAAGGGCAUUGGCAUCAUGGACAAGUAGUCAUCAAUAAAACCAAGAAAUAUACAUCAUAUUUCUCACCUAUGCCACCAAGAGGGAGAGAGUCUCCCACACAGAGGAGAUGAUAGUAGCAUCCUAACAUUAAUUACUUUCAAU
rnacentral:lncRNA from 1 species